rnacentral:rRNA from 1 species
AAAGGGUUAUAGGGAGGUCCAGCCUGCCCAGUGACAUAGUUUAACGGCCGCGGUAUUUUGACCGUGCAAAGGUAGCGCAAUCACUUGUCUUUUAAAUGAAGACCCGUAUGAAUGGCCAAACGAGGGCUUAACUGUCUCCCUUUUCAAGUCAGUGAAAUUGAUCUAUCCGUGCAGAAGCGGGUAUAAAGAUACAAGACGAGAAGACCCUUUGGAGCUUAAGGUACAAACCCAACCAUGUUAAGCAACCAACUUAAACAGCACAAACAUAAAGGACAAUGGGAUUUUACCUUCGGUUGGGGCGACCGCGGAGAAAAAAAUAUCCUCCGAGUGGACUGGGAUUAAACCUAAAACCAAGAAAGACACUUCUAAGUCACAGAAAAUCUGACCAAAUAUGAUCCGGCCACAAGGCCGAUCAACGAACCAAGUUACCCUAGGGAUAACAGCGCAAUCCUCUCCCAGAGUCCAUAUCGACGAGGGGGUUUACGACCUCGAUGUUGGAUCAGGACAUCCUAAUGGUGCAGCCGCUAUUAAGGGUUCGUUUGUUCAACGAUUAAAGUCCUACGUGAUCUGAGUUCAGACCGGA